rnacentral:rRNA from 1 species
UACGUAGGGGGCAAGCGUUGUCCGGAUUUAUUGGGCGUAAAGAGCGUGUAGGCGGCUUUACAGGUCCGUUGUGAAAACUCGAGGCUCAACCUCGAGACGCCGGUGGAAACCGUAAGGCUAGAGUCCGGAAGAGGAGAGUGGAAUUCCUGGUGUAGCGGUGAAAUGCGCAGAUAUCGUGAGGAAGACCAGUGGCGAAGGCGGGUCUCUGGACAGUUCCUGACACUGAGGCACGAAGGCUAGGGGAGCAAACGGG